rnacentral:tRNA from 1 species
GUUCUUGUAGUUGAAUAACAACGGUGGUUUUUCAAGUCGCUAGUCCUGGUUAGAAUCCGGGCAGGAAUU